rnacentral:rRNA from 1 species
AUUAUGUUGUUUCUUUGAGCAAAUUAUAGUGUUUCAGGCAGGCGUGCGCCGGAAUACAUUAGCAUGGUAUAAACGAAUUGGACCGUGUGCCCGUAACUGGGCUUCUCCUUAUUGUUGGUUUGAAGGACACGGAGAUGGUUAAUAGGGACAGCGUUUAUUUCACAAGGAGGCAUUAGUAUUUAAUUUCCAGAGGUGAAAUUCUUUGAAAUAUUAAAGACUAACUUAUGCGAAAGCAUCGUUUGCCAAUGAUGUUUUCAUUAAUCAUUGAACGAAAGUUAGGGGAUCAAAGACGAUCAGAUACCGUCCUAGUCUUAACCAUAAACGUUGCCGACUAGGGAUCGGAGGGCGUGCACAAUCCGCCUUCGGCACCUUACGAGAAAUCAAAGUCUUUUGGGUCUGUGGGUAGUAUGGUCGC